rnacentral:rRNA from 1 species
UAACGAAUCUUCCGCAAUGGGCGAAAGCCUGACGGAGCGACGCCGCGUGAAGGACGAAUUCCUUCGGGAUGUAAACUUCUUUUCGGGUGAAGAAAACAAGGAGCGCUAAUACCGCUCUGCGAUGAUCGAUCCCGGAAUAAGCCUGGGCUAACUCCGUGCCAGCAGCCGCGGUAAGACGGAGCAGGCAAGCGUUGUUCGGAAUCACUGGGCUUAAAGCGCGUGUAGGCGGCUCGGCAAGUACCUUGUGAAAGCCCCCGGCUCAACCGGGGAACUGCUGGGUAUACUGCCGAGCUUGAGGCAGGUAGGGGUGCUUGGAACUCUAGGUGGAGCGGUGAAAUGCGUAGAGAUCUAGGGGAACGCCGGUGGCGAAAGCGGAGCACUGGGCCUGUCCUGACGCUGAGACGCGAAAGCGUGGGUAGCAAACG